UGGCUCUCCCAUCGAUGAAGAACGCAGCGAAAUGCGAUAAGUAAUGUGAAUUGCAGAAUUCAGUGAAUCAUCGAAUCUUUGAACGCACCUUGCGCCCUCUGGUAUUCCGGAGGGCAUGCCUGUUUGAGUGUCAUUAAAUUCUCAACUUCAAAAGUUUUUAUUGAAUUUUUGAAGCUUGGAUGUUGGGGGCUUGCUGGCGUCUUUAGAUGUUCGGCUCCCCUUAAAGUUAUUAGUGGGAAUGUCUUUUAUUAGGCAAUCCUUGGUGUGAUAAUUAUCUACACUUUGGAUGGUUUAAUGGUUCCAAUGAGGCUAUUGGUAUUGCAAUUAAGUUUGCUGUACCUUGGGUCUUAGGGGAAAAGAUAAGUCUUGCUUUCUAACCGUCUGUGUUACAUGGACAAUUUAUUGACUAUUUGACCUCAAAUCAGGUAGGACUACCCGCUGA
rnacentral:misc_RNA from 1 species